UUUUGAAUUCAUUCUUGGAGUUUGUAAAUACAAUGCGAUUAAUCAGGGCGAUUAAUCGCGAUUAAAUAUUUUAAUCGUUGCCCAGCCCUAAAAAUAAUGAAGGUUACUACUUCAUAUCACGGGUUCUUUUAGGAACGUAACCCCUGUGAGAAACGAGGGUUCACUGUAACCGUAUACGUCUAAUAAAAGCUUCCUGAAGGGUCCCGGCCCAGACGGGCUCUGAAAGACAACAAGUGUCUCAGUUUCCAGUCAUUCUGCAGAAUAAAAACUGUUUUAAUGGUCUGAAGGAAAAUGCAGCUGAAAGCAACAAAGUCCAUUAAUGGAGAAAAUGAGGAGCUUUUCUGUGCAGUGAGGUUUGAUGUGCUGAAGGCAGCAGUGAUGGAGCUCCCAGUGAGGACCGUCCUCCAGGAGGAAACCUCAGAGAUGUGAGGAACCUGGAGAUGAGCUGAGUCCACCAUGAAGACAUCAGCAGCUUACAUCUUAAAGUUGCAGUCCAGGCUGAGGAAAAGACUCCACCGUCAAAGCUUCAGUGCAGUUCAGCUGUCCUCGUUUCAGCUGGUUGUGCCUCAAUGGACAAAUAGCUGUCAUUUCUUAUUUCAUGCUAAUCUUUGAUGUGAAACCAACAUCUUUUCUGUCAAUAAGAAAAGUUCUUUUGGAGUUUCAUCAGUUUUCAGGAAACCGGUUUAUAAAUGAAGGACUUUGUGCUGAAAGCUUGAAAAAAAGCAUGAAUUUAACGUCCUGAAGACUCACUGCUGCAGGGAGCAAAGGUGAAGAGAAGACGAAGAGUUUGAUUAAAUAUGAGGUCAAUGUUGCAAAGGUUUCUUUAUAAAAAUAAAAUCUGAGAUCUCUUUUAACUGGGCGGUUACCUAUGCUUCCUAAAUGUCUUCAGAGUCCAGACCAAAUGUGAAAUAAAGAAAUGAGACCUUGAUAUCCCAGAGCAACGAUGGCACAGUGCCCGCUUGAAAGCAUUUUUUACCUCCGUCAGUCAACAGAACAUUGAAAUAGUUGAUUUUUUAUUUGACUUUGCAGGACUGUAACAUAAAUUGCAACCUGAAUUGUUGAGAAAUGUUCCUAACCGGGCACUGAAGUGUCAAAGCAACUGGAAAUAAAAAUCUGCCAAAUGUCAAAAAGCCUUUAAAAGCAUUUUCAGCAGAGUUGGUCAGAAAAUUAUUGCU